rnacentral:rRNA from 1 species
GACGAACGCUGGCGGCGUGCUUAACACAUGCAAGUCGAACGGUGAAGCUCCAGCUUGCUGGAGUGGAUCAGUGGCGAACGGGUGAGUAACACGUGAGCAACCUGCCCCUGACUCUGGAAUAAGCGCUGGAAACGGCGUCUAAUACUGGAUACGAGAAGGGUCCGCAUGGGCACUUUCUGGAAAGUUUUUCGGUUGGGGAUGGGCUCGCGGCCUAUCAGCUUGUUGGUGAGGUAAUGGCUCACCAAGGCGACGACGGGUAGCCGGCCUGAGAGGGCGACCGGACACACUGGGACUGAGACACGGCCCAGACUCCUACGGGAGGCAGCAGUGGGGAAUAUUGCACAAUGGGCGAAAGCCUGAUGCAGCGACGCCGCGUGAGGGAUGACGGCCUUCGGGUUGUAAACCUCUUUCAGCAGGGAAGAAGCGAAAGUGACGGUACCUGCAGAAGAAGCACCGGCUAACUACGUG